GGGGCUGUAGCUCAGUUGGCUAGAGCACCACAAUGGCAUUGUGGGGGUCAGGGGUUCAAGUCCCCUCAGCUCCA
rnacentral:tRNA from 1 species